UACAUGAAGCUGGAAUCGCUAGUAAUCGCGAAUCAGAAUGUCGCGGUGAAUACGUUCCCGGGUCUUGUACACACCGCCCGUCACACCAUGGGAGUCGGAAAUGCCCGAAGUCAGUGACCCAACCGUAAGGAGGGAGCUGCCGAAGGUGGAGCCGGUAACUGGGGUGAAGUCGUAACAAGGUAGC
rnacentral:rRNA from 1 species